UACGAAGGGGGCUAGCGUUGCUCGGAAUCACUGGGCGUAAAGGGCGCGUAGGCGGCCAUUCAAGUCGGAGGUGAAAGCCCAGGGCUCAACCCUGGAAUUGCCUUUGAUACUGUUUGGCUAGAGACCGGAAGAGGUAAGUGGAACUGCGAGUGUAGAGGUGAAAUUCGUAGAUAUUCGCAAGAACACCAGUGGCGAAGGCGGCUUACUGGUCCGGUUCUGACGCUGAGGCGCGAAAGCGUGGGGAGCAAACAGG
rnacentral:rRNA from 1 species